rnacentral:rRNA from 1 species
UACGUAGGGGGCAAGCGUUGUCCGGAUUUAUUGGGCGUAAAGAGCGUGUAGGCGGCCAGGUAGGUCUGCUGUGAAAACUCGAGGCUUAACCUCGAGCUGUCGGCGGAAACCAUCUGGCUAGAGUCCGGAAGAGGAGAAUGGAAUUCCCGGUGUAGCGGUGAAAUGCGCAGAUAUCGGGAGGAACACCUGUGGCGAAAGCGGCUCACUGGACCACAACUGACGCUGAGGCGCGAAAGCUAGGGGAGCAAACAGG